UACGUAGGUGGCAAGCGUUGUCCGGAUUUAUUGGGCGUAAAGCGCGCGCAGGCGGUCCUUUAAGUCUGAUGUGAAAGCCCACGGCUCAACCGUGGAGGGUCAUUGGAAACUGGGGGACUUGAGUACAGAAGAGAAGAGUGGAAUUCCACGUGUAGCGGUGAAAUGCGUAGAGAUGUGGAGGAACACCAGUGGCGAAGGCGACUCUUUGGUCUGUAACUGACGCUGAGGCGCGAAAGCGUGGGGAGCAAACAGG
rnacentral:rRNA from 1 species